CCGAGCCAGCAGCAGGACGGAUCGGCACUGAACUACGCUGUGACGGCGCAUGUAGGGAACCAGCGACCCUCGCCGACCCCUCAACACGCCGCUGGUUGGCCCACAAAGUUCCUUUAUAGCUCGUCCUACAUGGAACCUCUUAUCUUCAGCCCUUCAACAUUGCUUUGAGACCCGUACUUUUCAACUAACUUGCAACAAGCAAAUUUCUCUUUUUUGUUUCUCUCAAAUGAAAUAACAUAUGGACUUCAAACUUUUCAGAUCAAACAAACUUUACAACUUCAAUGUGUGAAAAAACUUUCAGAUUUUUUGGACCAACAUAAAUAUACAAAAUGUGAAUUUUUUUGAUUAAAAAACUAAAUUUUAGCAUUUUAAAUGCAUGAACAAAUCUGAAAGUUUUUUCCCACGUAGUAAUUAGAAUGUUUUGUUGUCCUGCAAAGUGUGAAGUUUAUACGUUGUUUCGUUUAAGAGAAACAAAAAUGACAAAUGUGCCUGCAUGGAUCUUGAUGCCAAAAUGAAUGGCUAAGAUAAGGGGUACCGUGUAGCUCCAGCUACACAAAACCACACUCCUGGUUGGCCAUAGGCAGAACCGACGACUGAUCUUGGUGGGACCAGAUCCACGGCUGCCACUGCGCCCACCAUCGCGGGAGAACUUGGGCUCCCACGGGCCAUGGAGGCUAGUGUGGCCGCCGCACGACCAGGGGCGCCAUCCUUGCCCCUGCGUGCAACUCCCCCCGGGCCACGCCCCAGCCACACCAGGAGGUCGGCGCCGCAUCCAGACUCCUCGGCUCCUUCGGCUCUGGGCCUGCCGCCACCGCGGUCUACGCUGUUAGCCAAUAAACCGUGACGUGUGUGCGCUGUACGCGUGCGUGUGUGCGUGCACUGGAUGUGCCUGGUGCGAUUCUGGCCGCGUGCUGGCCGUGGUGUGUGCGCGUGUGUGUGCUCACGUGUGGUGCGCGGGAUGUGCGUGUGUGUGUAGCUGUUAGAGACCAGGUCCAGGGCUCGGCGUGUCGCGUGCGUUGCGGGCGCGCGCGGAGGACGCGGCCAGAGCGAGCUGGGUCGUGGGCGCGAGCAGGCAGGGGCGUGGAGAACGUGUCCAUCGUGUGCCUGGGUAUAAAACCCGUGUGUUGGUCAUUGUAACAGUGGGGAGUCGAGUUCGUGCUCGCCGGAAAUACACAGGAGCCGUCCGUAAGGCAAGGUGUUUGAGCGCCUGGAAAUCUUGUGUGUUGCCUCCCCCUGGCUUAUUUCUUGUCUCCGGUGAUCGUCGUGCUCCGGUGGUUUGGUUUCUGCAACAACAUACGCCGGCGGCAGCGGCGGAUGGGAAGGUAGCAGUGCGAGGAAGCCUUUGACGGCGCUAGGGUUCGCCCCUGGCCUCACCCCGAGGAGACGACGCAAGGGAGUCACGCGAGGGGUCUGGAUGUUUGUAUAGAAGAGCUCUUGGUAUUUCAUGAUCCUUUUUGGAUCCUUUGUCAGAUGUCUCCUUUCGGGACCGUUGUAGCCAUUUCAUGAUGUGCAAAGGUACAUUUAGCUCUUUCUGCCACUUGACAUUUCAUGAGGUAAGAAUAUGCUAGAUAGAAUGAAGCACCAUAUAUUAUUCUGUGCUUUUGGGAAAAAUAAAAUUGGAAAUGGUCCAUAUAUUAUCCUGCGUGAUUACAAAAUUUCUCGUUUUCCAGUUAUUCAUCUAACUGUAAUCUGUGGCCGCAUCUUUAGUAUAGAGUUUCUGUUUUAAUCUUAAUGCAUGGAGUAUAUUGCAGAAACCACAAGACAAAAGAAGAAUGGAGCUUGGUGUGGAGAGGACAGAGGAUCAAACAGGUGUUUGAGGAGAUUAUUGCCAAAAAAACUACGGGUGGAAUCCCUCGAGGAAAAGGAUUGGAGUGGGAUAAGCUUCUGAUGGUGUUUUCUGUUCUGAUCCAAUUUGUGAGGUGGAGGUCCUUGUAAUCUUUGUGGUUGUUCAGGUUAGGUGUUGUGUUCCCCCAUCCUUUAGUCUAUAAAAUGGUAAACGAGUAACGCUGAGCGUUUGUUGGGUUGUCGCUUCAGUUUCUUCUCCUUCGAGUCUCUACCUUGUAAUAGGUUAAGUAAGGUUAGAUUGCUGGCCUGUGCUUUAAUUUCUACACCUGCAGCUGGAUGUGUUCUCAGGCUGUGGCCUUUUGUUUCUGAACUUCGUAAAACCUUGAUGCUGGCGGUUUCUCAAUGAAAAUCAAC
rnacentral:rRNA from 1 species